CGCUUUUUGUCUUUUAAUAAAAAGUAUAGCCUGCCCACUGAUAAUUAAAUGGCCGCGGUAUUUUGACCGUGCGAAGGUAGCAUAAUCAUUAGUCUAUUGAUUGUGGACUGGUAUGAAUGGCUGGAUGGGUAGCCUCUGUCUCAGGAGUAAAGAUGAAUUUUAGAACUUUGUGAAGACGCGAAGAUUAGGCUAAUAGACGAGAAGACCCUAUUAAGCUUGACUCUAGGAAGAUUUAUAUUUGUAAUUUUUGUAUGAGUUGUGUUGGGGCGACAGAGAAAUAUAUUAACUUUCGUGAGAGUCAAUAUAAUGAGUAGAGAGAGAAAAUGAGCCACUAAUAGUGAUUAUAAGAAUAAGUUACUAUAGGGAUAACAGCGUUAUUUUGUUGGAGAGUUCUUAUCGAUAACAAAGUUUGCGACCUCGAUGUUGAAUUAGGAUUCCUUUCUUGUGCAGUAGCUAGAGAAGGAGGUCUGUUCGACCAUUAAAUUCCUACA
rnacentral:rRNA from 1 species